GAGACGCCAGAUGUGAGUUGAGGUGCCAGACGUGAGUUGAGGUGCCAGACGUGGCGGCGUUGGGUACCCAGGACCCUCGGACGGGUCUGCUGCGGCUUGCUGGGGGUCCACUCCAGACCCUGUUCGCCUGGGUAUCACCAGUGGAGUUUGCAGAACAGCAAAGAUUGCUGCUUGCUCCUUCCUCCAGAAGCUUCUUCCCACAGUGGCAUCAACCUGAUUGAUGUCAGCCGGAACUCUCCUGCAUGAGGUGUCUGGCGACCCCUGAUGGGAAGUCUCACCCAGUCAAGAAGCACGGGACUGGAAGGGGGACCUCCUUACGGAGGCAGACUGACUGUCCCUUAGCAGAGCUGGUGCACUGUAUUGGAGGAAUAACCCUCCUUGGGAUCAGCUGGUCUCUUCAGAGCCAGCAGGCAGGAAAGAUUAAGUCUGCUGAACCUCGGACCAUGGCCGCCGCUCCCCCGAGGUGCUCUGUCCCAGGGAGAUUAGAGUUCUUGUCUGUAAGCCCCUGACUGUAGCUACUGGAAUUCCUGCAGGGAUGCCCUCCAGGUGAGGAGGGAUGGCUUCGGGUCCCACCUAGGAAGCAGUCUGGCCACGAUCUGCAACAGCCACUUUGCUGCGUUGUGGGGAAUUCCACCCAGUCCAAACCUCCUAGUCUCCUUAGCACUGUCAGGGGAAAACCUCCAACUAAAGCCUCAGUAAUGACGGUCGCCCCUCCCCCUGGGAACUGAGUUGUCCCAGGCGGACUCCAGACUGCUGUGCCGGCAGCGGGGAUUUCAAGCCAGUGGUUCUUAGCUUGCGGGGUUUCCGUGGGAGUGGGACCCUCUGAGCGAGACCACUUGGCUCCCUGGCUACAGCCCCCUUUCCACAGAAGUGGACAUUUCUCCUGCCUCACUGGAGUUCCAGGUGCUGCCGGAGUAUGUAAAAAUUCCUGCAGCUCAGUGCCUGCCCAAACAGCCGCCGACGGGAGCAGCUGUCAUUGGUCUGCCCAGUUUUGUAUUUGAGACCCAGGGCACUGGUGGUUGUAGGCUCCCGAGGGGAUCUGCUGAUCUGUGGAUUGCAAAAAUCUGUGGGAAAAGCUUAGUACCCUUGGUGGGUAGCACUGUCCCUCACCACUUCCCUUGGCUGGGGAGGGAGGUCCCCCUGCCCUGUGCAGUUCCUGGGUGAAGCAAUACCCUGCUUCUUCUCGCUCUCUGUGGGUCAUGCCGACCAUCUAGUCAGUCCCAGUGAGAUGAACUGGGUAUCUCAGUUGGAAAUGCAGAAAUCACCCACAUUCCUCGUUCCUCUCGCUGGCAGCUGCAGACCAGAGCUGCUUCUAGUCGGCAGUCUUGGCCCCUCCCCGCCGAGGUAAGUUUAAUAAGUCUUCUAAAUUUGUCCUUGCCAUAAUGAUCAGUGAUGAUCUGUCUUUUAAUAAGUUAAAUGCUUUCCAGACUUCAAGACUCUCACCCACAUCAAAAAUAAAAUUAUAUAUCGGCCAUAUUACCAGGAUUUUAGAAUGUUGUAUUUUAUCCUCUAAUUAUAGGUCAAAUAACUAAGGUAGAAAGGAGUAAAGCAACUUCCAUGUAUGUAGUGAGGAUGUUGGGGGGUCUGGGACUAAAAUUCUGCCUUGGGAUUCCCAAGAGGUUGGUGAUUAUGAUUUUUGUACUCUUAGACACAAAAUAAAAUAACAUUCUGUUUUGUUC
rnacentral:lncRNA from 1 species